rnacentral:lncRNA from 1 species
UUUUCUUCUUAUCCUGUCUUAGUGUCUUGUACUCUUGUUAGAAAAUGGCGUGUAUAUAGCAAGUGACUUGAAAAUGAUAUGUAACGCAGGUUAUUUCAGGCCUAAACUCGCAGGACUGCAAAUUGUAAGACUUUGGCUGGCAGAACUCUUCCUUCAGUGCCAUUAACAUUUCCCGCCUUUCCCUGCCUCGGAUUUCCAUGGUCGAACUUUCUGUGCACAUGGAAGUUUGGAUAAACUGAACAAUUAUUAAAAUUGCCAACAUUCUAUCCAUUCUCAGGUUAUGAUGCUUGAUGACACCUGACAGCGAUUGGAUCAUGAGUGGAUCAUGCUCCAGUCUUCUGAUCUCCACUGAUCCAUCCUGUGUAGCUCUCUUCUUCUAAUCUCAUCUUGUGUAGCUAUGGGCAUUCUUAUCUCUCCUCUACUCAUCUCUUCUGGGUCCAAGGAAACCUUCAGUCAGGGGCUGUUCUGAACACGACAUGGAAGAAAGGAGAAAGUCUCGUUCGCUGGCCACGUUGCUGGCCAUGUAGCGGUUCAAAGCAAAUUCCCAUUCAACUUCGUCGCCUUCCCGGAUGGCUAUGCACGUCACAGUGCCUUUCAGGUCAGGUGAAAUAACACUAUUAAAGGGAAACGAAAAAUUAUAAGUAAAUCCAGACUAAAUUACUCAAAUAAUUCUUAUUUACUCAAUAUUCUCAGGAUCGGCCAUCCAUUGAGCGUAGGAUUUGACAGCGCGACUGAUGCAGUCCUUGUUGCCCAUGGAACAAGCCCACGAAACGGCGUUGGUACGCAAUUUGGUCAUUAAAAGAUCCUCGCCGAUCUUUUGGUCGAACCCCACCAGGUUGUACAGCGGCGUGAUGAUUGUGCGGAAAUGUUUCUUCAGCAACCCGUAGCCGGAAGUGCGAGACAUCAUUGAGGAAAUGUAACCCAUGCUGGAAAGGGCGGCAUCCCAUGGAACGUAAUCGGUUUCGUGUUCCAGGUAACGCGUCAGGUUCAGCGCAGUUUCGUAAUCCAACAGGCCGGCUUCGGCCAAAUUCAGUGAAUCGUCCAUAAUUUGUGCUCGGUUGAUGACGGAAAUGGCCGAGUGGUUAGUCAUCAACUGCUGGCCAAUCAUCUGCCAAUUUUUCGAAUCGUAGUUGAUGCGAUAAUAACCUGGAAUUAAUGCGCGUUAGUAAUGAAUCCGGACGGAUUAUUUGCGGAAGCCUUAUUACCCAUCUGGUCAACGUUGAAAAUGACCCAUUGAUUUUUAUCGGCUGGAAUGCUCAGUUCGUGUUUCUUGCCAGUCUGUCCGUCAGCCAACCAGGUGGAUCCUACCGUCUGGAAGUCUGUCGUGUAGGUCAGUGGCACCCACCAAAGGUAAACCGUUUUGUCCUGGCUGCUGGCGUUGGAUCGUUGCAUCAAGAAGCGUUCCUGAUUUCCAUUUGAUAAACAUUUUAUUGCCUGUCCAAAUCUUAUGCGCCAUUAGUAUUACCUGGCUGAGGGAAACGGAACUAUUUUCGUAUUCUCGAGUCACCGUGACGACCGGGAAACCUGCAGCAACACCAUUUAUCAACAACAAGAUUAGAUUGAUGUGCAUUCGAGAGCUUGACGCCAAAUUACCCAUCUUCAAAGUCCAAUUGUCCAUAAUUUGUUUCACACCAGUGGGCAGUGGGACCUUGUCGACUUUGGCUUGUUUAGUUAGCGCGUCCCAGAGAUCGUCUUGAACGGCGUUACCGUAUUGGCUUUUAACGACAAAAAGAAUCAGCUAAAGAAGGUUUUAAAAACAGCUAGCAGGUUUUUUCGCCAAGAAAUGCGGCCAACAUCCGGAUAACGGUGGCACCUUUUUCGUAAGUAACCUUGCUGGAAAUCUCAGUGACUUCAUCCGGAUGGUGAACGACAACGUUGAUCGGGUGACUUGAUUCAAGGGCGUCCAAUCUCAUCGCGCUCUGCAGAUCUCUAGUCACGAACUGCUGCGGCCAUUUCAACCCUGGUUCGGCAUGAUCGGUACCGAGAUACUCUGCAUCAAAUCAAAAACUAAAUAAUUAAAAAACAAUAUCACAGGGUAAGUACGGAAUAAUAGCAAAUUGAGGUAUACCUGCGUAGCUUGCGAAACCUUCGUUCAACCACAAGUCCGUCCACCUUUUAAAUUAUUAAGUUAAUAAUUAAUAAUUCAAAUGGCAAAUAUCCAAUCCUUACCAGUCCAUUGUGACGAGAUUUCCGAACCACUGAUGGGCCAAUUCGUGAGCGACAACCUCGACAACUUUUUCUCUGUCGCUAACCGACGAUUUCUUUUCAUCGUACAACAACCUAGUUUCUCUGGGUUACCAAAACAGAAAUGAAAAUUAUGUUGUCAAAAUGCCAAAGAAUUUUCUCAAUUUAAAAACCUGUAGGUAAUCAAACCCCAAUUUUCCAUGGCACCUGAACUCGGAGAAAUGCAAGCGGAUUUCAGUAAAAACCCAAAUAGUCGAAACAAAUUGAAUGAAAUGAAAAAAGACCUGCAGCAAAGUCGGGAAUGGCAAUCAUAUCCUGUUUGGGCAAAGCAUAUGGAAUCUGGAAAUAGUCUUCAAAGAAAGCUUGGAUUUUCGGCCCAAUUUCGCUCGCGUAUCUUUAAGUACGGACAAAUGAGAUUAUUUAAAAUUCGGGAGUUAAAAUUUGAUUAGUGAACAUAAGGAGGGAGGAAUAAACUCACUGCGCUUGAUUGCGAGCCGAAGGGCGUGCGUAAAUGUUGAACUUCCACGUUGCGUUGCCGACGUUGGCCUCGAAUUUCGUGAAAUCGGCCACAACGAAGGCGAUGAGGCGUGAACAACGUGAUCGUAGUAAUCGGAUAUGCAAAUAGAAAAAUAAUAAAUAGAUAAUUAUGGAGCAUGACUUGCAUUGAUGUUGUGUUAACCAACGGCAUGUUGGAUAGUGAAAUCAUGUCGCGAUGACGGCCCAAAGUGACGGUGAAAGUUGCCUUCAUGUUGGGUUCGUCGAAGCACGGGAAAGCUCGGCGGGCAUCCGUCGCCUGCAUCUGAGACACGGCCAUGUACCUGACGUCGAAGAGAAAAUCAAAAUCAACGCUUUCUUUUCCCAUCAAAGAAAUGGACCAAUUAAUUGAAUUGGAGCGGUACAAGCCCCGCAGCCCAUCUGUCAGGUUACCAACGUAAUUCAUCGACAAUGUGUAGUUGGCUCCUUUGGCCAGCUUGUCUUUAUCUACAAGACGAAUGACUAGAAACUCCAUAUCCGUAUCAUAAUGGAUCCCGUCGCUAGCCACCAUUAGGGUUUUUCCAGGUUUUCCCUGUUCAAAUACCUGGGAGAGAAAAACAAAAUGUUCCAAUUAUAACCCUCAUUAUCUUCUAGAUGCUGCUGGAUAUACUGGGCCGUCUCUACCUUGACGGAUUUGGGAUCGACGACAAUGUCAGCGCUGUGGAGGACAAUGCGGUCCGUUUCCAUUUUGCAUUGGAUGUCGAUAGCCACGUGACCCAGAAUGGAGAAGUUGCCUUUCUCCAAGACGGGAAAGAGUCGGACAUCAUAACGAAUAGGCAGGACGUCCCGCGGCAAACGGAUGUUAUCAUUGCUGGAUUUUUCGUGAGACUUGUCUUUCUUGCUGCCACGAGAAGAAGACGAAGCGGAAGCAGCGGCUCCAUUGGUGGCGGUCACCGGGUAAGGUUGAUUGGGCAGAAAGGAGACCAAUUUACCCACGUCAGCAGCUGGAACAGCCAAGGACCAGGUUGGGUAGACACCAUGGAUGUGGUAGUAUUGUUCAGCUGCUUCCUGAUCCUGAUGACCCUCCAUGGCGAAUACGCAAGCGGCCAAAGCCACCAAAACCAAAAGGGUCUAAAUAGAUACGAUUGCACAUUUUUAAUCUCAUGACACUCUUUGGUAAGAAGAGAAGAAUAUAAGUUGGAAUAAUUACCAUUGACUUGCACAUGUUGAAGAGAGUUGCUGAGCUGAUACUUGACGAUCAACUGCAAUCAACUGUGUCUUUUCCAUCGUUGGGGUGAAUCAAUUUAUACCCCCAAGUUGUUGUUUGAAACCGCAUGAUCCUCACCUUGUAUGGUCCACACCCAAAGAAUUAAUUUGCAUGAGCCAACUUGUUUCUUGUCUCCUUCGCAAUUUCCUUUUGACUUGUUUGGUGUUAUCACGACACUGAAUCUGUUUUUCAGUUUCGCUGGCCAAAUUAGAAUAACACAUCUUCUCACGUCCGCGGGGGUGCCCCUCUGGAAUUCCCUUGCCCGCAGGCUCCAGUCACUUAUGCGUCACAUGAUCGAAGGGGUGUUGGUUUGAUCCAAGUAUGAAUUGAAUAAUGAAUUACAAAGAUUCGUUCGUAUUCAGUUUUGAUUUAUAAUCUUAAAAAAAUAUAUUUGCAAGGUGGUGC